AGUGCUAUAGUUUCAGGGGAUUGUUUUUAUAGUUUCAUUACCUAAGAAUUUUCUAUGAUCGUGUAGAGUGCCUGGAAAUAAUGGGGAGUCAGAGCAUCCUCUCCUAAGCGUGAGGCCAGUCUUAGGUGUUGUUUCUACAACUGCCUUUUACCACUGAUAAUUGUUCUUCUCUUCCCUUUGAAGAGAGAUAGGGAGGAUGCAGUCUGAUUGG
rnacentral:snoRNA from 1 species